CUGGGCAUGGGUGGGGGUUGGCAUUGCGGUUGCCAAUCUAGUGUCCAACCAGAGGACAGAAGGAUGGAGUGGAAGAAGGGAGAGGUUUAGGGCCUGGGAGGGGAGAAGAGGGUGCAUGAGUUGCUUCAUGCUGCCUGCUUACAGGCAUUGGCACUGCAGCUGCCACCCCUUGUGCCCACGGAGAUAGGAGAAGGUGAAUGGAGGGGGGCAGCGACAGGAGUCCCCGUGCUCUGGGAGGAAGGCUCGGUACCCGGGAGCUGUUGGCAUCACAUCUGUCAGGCUGGUGCCCAGCACUGGGGCAAUGGGGAAUGGAGGACCCAGGAGGCAGGGAGGAGGGGCAGGAAUGUGUUGUUAGUGUUGCUGUCCCUUUAGAAACUUAGCUCUGAGAAAUGGUUGGAUUAUGAGGUGGUUAGUGCUCUUCCAGCCUGGGAAAGUACCGUGGUGGAAAGAGUAGUCAGAGAAGUGCCAAGAAAGAGCCUAUGAGCCAGGGAGGAGGGACUGUGCCACCGCUACCCAGGGAGAACUUGUUGGGGCUGGCAAUCUGGCCCUUUGUCAGAACACUGAAGGAGACAGCAAGGGCACUGGCACUGCCCAUGGCGCCUGGCACAGGCUCUGGCAUUGUGUGGAAUAAGGACGGGUGACGGUGCCUCUCGCCAAUCUGGUUGCAAGGGCUGUUGUGCCAGGAGUGAGAAGGGAGGAGAGAUGUUUGCAGGGGUGUUGUUUGGGAGUACAGACUUUUUUUCUGCCAGGACCCCCUUCCCAUUCCCUCUUAGGCAUGCGGAGUGAGCAACUGACAGAGAGAGAGCGGCGUGAGGACACAAAGGAGGAAGCGCGCCAUUGCCAAGACCCGGAGGAAGAAGGAUGGAGAGCGCUGGCAGUCUUGCCUGGCCCCCAGCCAGUUUUCUGCUGAAGAUGGCCAUAUCCCCUUGCCUGGUCUGUAUAUGCCACUAUUGCAGCAGUGGUGGGAGGGAAGGGCUGGCUUGCUGAGCUGGGCUCUGGAAUGGGAAGGGCACUUUUCUGGGGAUCCCACUCUAACAAGUGAGGUGUCUGGUUUUUCUCCCUAGUGCCUUCCUCUUCUACCCCUCCCUUCACUCACCCUUCUUUCAUCUCUCCAUCACCACUUGGGUCUUACUGCUUGGCACCCAACUAACUGGAUACUGCCACGCUUGGCAGUGCUGCACUGGCACGUGAACAGUGCCUCAGAUCCUGGCACUGCGGCAAACCCAAAGCCACCAAACAUGCGCAUGACGCCACUUGGCGGCAGUGAGAGAGAGGGGCCAUGCAUAUAGCAGUGCCAGGCACUGGGUGGAGCUCUGUGCUGGGAAGUGGCAUGAAAGGAUGCCCCUAACAGCUGGGCUGAGUCGGCACUCUCUGGCCAACCCCAACUCUGCCUUCCUCCUAAUUAGAUACCCACGUCCCACCCCCACUGCCCCCAAGACAGGGAUUUAGAUGGUACCACACCUAGUGAUUGAGCAGCCAUGCAAAGGGAAGCUGGAGCACAGAGGACAGAUUGUAGUCACACCCAAAGCCAGUGAAUUAUACACUUCUUUGGGCAAUAAGGACAGAAAAAAAUCCUAGGAGGGCAAAAAGAGCCUGGACAAAAGCAUGCCAGCUAUGUUGUUUCCAAGAUGGUACCAGAAGAGAUAGGAAGGGAAAUGGGAAGGAGAGACCCUCAGGCCUUUCUGUUGGGUGGUGGGAUGGUUUGUACCUAUAUGUAUUUCAUUUUGCCUUGUGCCUUGGAUUGGCUGAGCUGUGGUUGAAGUGAAUUCGUUCUUUCUCCUUUGUUAAAGUCUUAUAUUCAAGAACAGUCUUAGAAAGGUGGAGAGUUGCUCUAGGCCUAGAGAGGUAGGCAGGUGUUAGGAAGACAAAGGCAUCUGGGACUUUUCCUUCCAGAAAGACUGUUCAAAGAGAUUUUGUGUUUAGGUAUUUCUCUAUGGCACCCCAAUUGGAGUUGGAUAAAUUUCCAUAUCUUUAAAAUCCACCCCAGAAAGGGAAACUGAGGACCAGCAAUGAGCCCUGGUAGAGGGGUGGGCCCCUAGGAGGAGAAUUGGUAGCAUCCGUGGUGACAUAGUCCAGCUCCCACAGAACUGGAUGUUGGGCCCCCAUUUGAAAGGACUUUUAGUAGGUUUAUCUUUCCCUGUAUCCUGGGUAGCCAGUGGCUGUAGGUCAGUGACCAACAAGAUCUUCAGGUGGCAGAUUUGACUCCGGGUAAUGUCGGGGCAGCUAGGUGGCUCUGGGACAUAGGACCUGCCCAGAGAGAAGUAAAGCCCAUGCUGGGCUGAGCUGCUCAGGGCUGGGGAGCUCUGCUUUCAGCAUCUCUGGAAGUAGAUGGCAGCUUUGAAAGAAGCAAAGUGGUUUCCACAGUGGAGGAGAGAGCAAGGAGGCACUCAGCCAAGGAGGUGAGUGGACAAUGUUUAUAUCUUUUCUCCUGUUCGAGAACAGCAGCAUAAGCAGAAGACACUGUUAGAUUUCCAAUAUGUUGGAUGUUGAGGGUGGCGGUGAUGUCAGCAUAAGGAAGAGGACAAAUCUGAGGUCAUGACAGGCCACUGUGUGGUAGCUCCUGGUGCAGCAGGGUUGGUCCUUGGGUGCUAGAGAGAUGGGGGCAGGUCACAGAUGGAUGUGGGCUGAGCUCUCUAGGCCAGUGAUUCUCAAACUCCAAAGAGUACGGAAUCACUUCAGGAGUUUCUGAUUCAGUUGAUUUGAAUUAGUCCAGGAAUGUGCAUUUUAAAUAAGCACUCCUGUUGUAGGUGAACAAAACUUUGAGAAACACUGUUCUGAGAGAUGGUAGUCACCUUGCAUGUAGGGUGGUGAUCUUGUCUGGAUUUCCCUUGCCUUUUGCAUCCUUCCUCUUCCUCAGCCACACUCAUGUCUUUGUGCUCUCACGCUGGGGACACAUGUGUUGUAGGAUGUGCUUAUGUAUGUUUUGGGUUAGGACAGUUAGGAGGAAAGGAGAUUGUGAGGUCAAAUCAGGCAAAUGUUAGAACAAUGAUCCUCAUCACAGUGGUUAUCACAGAAGAAUCCCUUUGGGAAUACUUUCAAAAGUCACUCCUCCCUUUGCCCCUAGAUUCUGAAACCUCACCAUUGAGAACCAGUAGGUUAGGAGCAUUGCCAAGAGAUUAUUCUCUGUGGUCCCGACAGGUUUGUAUGGAUUUUGUAGCCAGGUACAGGAUGGGUCUAGUCACACUUCUUCCUGGCAGCAGGCCUGGAUCCUGGGCAAUGGAAACAGGGGUCAGCAGAGUACAGGGCCCAGCUUGCUGCUGGUACUCAGCGAAUUGCAGAAGAUACUAUCGCUUGAGCACCUGGUGGGGAUGUCCAGAAUGAGCACAGUGUAGGUCAUUUUCAAGUCUAGUUAAGAAGACAUGGUGCAGGGUUGUUACCAGGAAGGGAUGGUGGAUAUGGGCAGUGCUGAGCCUCUGCAGAUCACUGGUACCUGGGUUUUAGCCAUGGUUUGUGUGAGAAUGUGUACAUUGUUGGGCAGGGUUAUGAGUUAACCCGGGAGCUGCAUCGCCUUUCCCCUUUGGACAGGUUCAGCUUCCUUCUGGUCCACCUGUGAUCGCUCAACCUGCUUCUCCAAUAGCUUUUAGCCAGACAUCUCGCCAUGGCUGGGGAACUGCAGGAAACACCAGGCCCAGACUACUGACAGGGAAUAAUGACAUUUAUCCCUUGUCUAUGCUCUGUGUGAACUGCUAUUUGGGUCCCUCUAUAUCAGUGGGUGGUCACACAAUUGUGUCACCCAAUUUUAUGUUCUCCCUAUAAAGUGCAUUCACUCUCAGGAGGGGCUUUCUCUCAUGGUUACUUCCCAUUUCUCCCCCAACUGACAUGCCAUGGUCUAGUUCUUCUGUAAAUGUACCCUCUUGGAUUUUUUUUCACCUGAUCUUUUCGUAAUAUAUCCAUGCUAUAAUCCUAUAGACCCUGAGACUGGGUCUUCUGCCUUUCUUAUAGCAAGAGCUUCCUUGGUAUUGGGGCAUUUCUCCCCAAUUCAAUCCUCUAGAAAUGAUACCCUCAUGGCUUACAAGUUUCUGACUAGUUGCUUGUGAGGGAAAUGCUCCCCAAUACCUGGCCUUCCUAUAACACAGAGUCCUAGCCCUGUUUGCCAUAGGAGUCUCCCCAAAAGUUUUCUUCUCAUUCACUACCUCUCCCCUCCCUGGUGUCCAGAGGCAUUUAAGGUCCCUUCCCCACAGGUUGAUGUUCAAUACUUUGUUAUUCUUCUUAAUACUGGUUACAUUUUCCUCUAUUCUGUGUUUAUAAGCUUUGUCUACCUACUUCUGUGUGAGGAAAAUUUGCAUGUAAUAGAGUGUUUCUACUUAUGGGGGGGUAGGUCAUGUGUCUGGGGGUAUUACCCUUUGUAUCUCUACCUAUUGGCAUGUGUGUGUUCCUGUAGCCCUCUGUGCUGCUGGGGUCUUGUUGGUGCAGUUAUACACAGAGUUCUGUAUUUCAGAUGCGACUGUCUUUACAGGGAUAAAUGACUAGAUGAACAAGUGUGCCUUAAAAUGGAUCAGGGUGAUGGACAUUUGGGGAAUCAGUGAUCUGGUCUAUAAACCCUGAAAGUGCUUAAGGAACAAAUAGAAGGAAUUAAGCAGGUGUGUGCUGUUAUGCCUGGAAUAACUGGCUUUCUUGGUUCACAUGCAUGCUUCUAUAAGUACACUCCAGGGCUAGAGGGGCAGGCUAGGAAAAGAUUUCCUUUUGUGGUCAUAUUACAAACUCUCAUUUGGCCACUUAUACUUCAGAUUUUCUCACACUCUUCCAGCAGAUUUUAUUUUUGUUCCCAGCUGAGGAUUGGGUACCUUAACCCAUCCUUACAAAGACUUUGGUUUAGAGCAGACAGCCCAGGUCACUUCCACCUCCUGCUUGCCGGUACCGACCCUGGCCAUAAGUUGUGUAGGCCCCAAUUUGGGUGCUUCUUUAGGGAUUUGUGUAUGUUAGAAACCCUAGGACUUUGUCCCAAGCCAUGGAAGACCAAUCUUAUCAGUCUUCCAUCAGUUCAGGCUCACUUUAGGGUUAGGGGUCGAUAGGUACUGUAAAAUAGGUGUUGCUGUACUGUGCACUUGAGUUGAGUCUAUUAUUCCAUAGGAGAAACAUGAUUCAGUCCUGGUGACUUGGCAUGCACCUUUAACAUUCUGCAUAGGGUUGUGCUGACUCAGCCUUCUGUCCGGCCACUGUGUGUCACUCUCUGGAACUGGAAUGCUACAACUAAGGACUUCUGGUCUGAGAAAGGGGCUGGGGAGAAAUGCUUCCAGCCACUGGGAACAUGGACUGAUAGACCCUCAAGCAGCAUGUUGAUUGACCUAAGUCAGCAGAGUCAGCCAGGUUCUUUUGCCCCCAAAAUUCCAGGGUUCCAGUAUGUGAAUGGAAUCUGGUUCCAUCCUCUUGAACUUCUGGUGACAUGAUGGACUGAGCUGAUCCAGACUCCUCCCUCCAGCCCGAACACCAGAAGAGCUGAAUAAAGUCUUUGUUUCACUUCA